UCUUUAAUUCUUGAAAAUAAUUGAUGCAAAUGGUUUGGUUGAUAUGAGGGGCUAAUAUUGCUUGGAUUAUUGCCCCAACAAGUUGCCAAUUAUUGAACAUAGGAUUAUUUAGCAAUUAUUCACCAAAAUGGGACAAAAGGGUAAAAUGGGCAUUUCCAUAUCAAUAAUUGAUUUCUUUUUUUUUUUUUUUUUUUUUUUAGCAUACCAAAUGUCCAAUAUGUCCCUCCUUAAUUGGGCUUAAAUUUGGGCCACCAUUUCCAUCUUUUGGGCUAUCAAUAAAUAAUAUAUUGGACUUAAAAUUUAAUUCUUUGGGCCAUGUAAUUUAACAUAGUCAAAUUCUUUUCUAUCUUACCCAACCCUAAAUAUUUAAUUAGGAUAUCCAAUCUAAAUAUUUAAUUAGAGUAUCAUUCCAAAUAAUUAGAAUUUAAA
rnacentral:lncRNA from 1 species